UACCAGACUCCUACGGGAGGCAGCAGUGGGGAAUAUUGCACAAUGGGGGAAACCCUGAUGCAGCAACGCCGCGUGAGUGAAGAAGUAUUUCGGUAUGUAAAGCUCUAUCAGCAGGGAAGAAAAUGACAGUACCUGACUAAGAAGCCCCGGCUAACUACGUGCCAGCAGCCGCGGUAAUACGUAGGGGGCAAGCGUUAUCCGGAUUUACUGGGUGUAAAGGGGGCGCAGACGGCGAUGCAAGCCAGGAGUGAAAGCCCGGGGCCCAACCCCGGGACUGCUCUUGGAACUGCGUGGCUGGAGUGCAGGAGGGGCAGGCGGAAUUCCUGGUGUAGCGGUGAAAUGCGUAGAUAUUAGGAGGAACACCAGUGGCGAAGGCGGCCUGCUGGACAGAAACUGACGUUGAGGCUCGAAAGCGUGGGGAGCAAACAGGAUUAGAUACCCCCGUAC
rnacentral:rRNA from 1 species